UUCCCCUAGUAACUGCGAGUGAAGCGGGAAAAGCUCAAAUUUAAAAUCUGGCAGUCUCUGGCUGUCCGAGUUGUAAUCUAGAGAAGUAAUGCCCGUGCUGGACCGUGUAUAAGUCUCCUGGGAUGGGGCGUCAUAGAGGGUGAGAAUCCCGUCUUUGACACGGACUACCAGUGCAUUGUGGUAUGCUCUCAAAGAGUCGAGUUGUUUGGGAAUGCAGCUCAAAAUGGGUGGUAAAUUCCAUCUAAAGCUAAAUAUUGGCGAGAGACCGAUAGCGAACAAGUACCGUGAGGGAAAGAUGAAAAGAACUUUGGAAAGAGAGUUAAACAGUACGUGAAAUUGCUGAAAGGGAAACGCUUGAAGUCAGUCACGUUGGCCGGGAAUCAGCCUUGCUUUUGCUUGGUGUACUUUCUGGUUGACGGGUCAGCAUCAAUUUUGAUCACUGGAAAAAGUCCUGGGGAAUGUGGCAGCUUCGGCUGUGUUAUAGCCCCUAGUCGCAUACAGUGGUUGGGAUUGAGGAACUCAGCACGCCGCAAGGCCGGGUUUCGACCACGUUCGUGCUUAGGAUGCUGGCAUAAUGGCUUUAAGCGACCCGUCUUGAAACACGGACCAAGGAGUCUAACAUGCCUGCGAGUAUUUGGGUGGAAAACCCAAGUGCGUAAUGAAAGUGAAAGUUGAGAUCCCUGUCGUGGGGAGCAUCGACGCCCGGACCAGAACUUUUGGGACGGAUCCGCGGUGGAGCAUGUAUGUUGGGACCCGAAAGAUGGUGAACUAUGCCUGAAUAGGGUGAAGCCAGAGGAAACUCUGGUGGAGGCUCGUAGCGAUUCUGACGUGCAAAUCGAUCGUCAAAUUUGGGUAUAGGGGCGAAAGACUAAUCG
rnacentral:rRNA from 1 species